rnacentral:rRNA from 1 species
UGGGGAAUUUUGCGCAAUGGGGGAAACCCUGACGCAGCAACGCCGCGUGAGUGAUGAAGGCUUUCGGGUCGUAAAGCUCUGUCAGAAGGGAAGAAAUGCAGGGGCGCUAAUACCGCCUUUGCUUGACGGUACCUUCAAAGGAAGCACCGGCGAACUCGGUGCCAGCAGCCGCGGUAAUACGGAGGGUGCGAGCGUUGUUCGGAAUUAUUGGGCGUAAAGCGCGGGUAGGCGGUCCUUUAAGUCUGAUGUGAAAGCCCUGGGCUCAACCCAGGAAGUGCAUUGGAAACUG